rnacentral:rRNA from 1 species
UCUGCCCUUCAGUCCGGGACAACUUUCCGAAAGGGGAGCUAAUACCGGAUAACAAUGUUUGACAUAAGUUGAAUAUUUGAAAGCUCCGGCGCUGAUGGAUGAGUCUGCGUCCCAUUAGCUUGUUGGUGCGGUAGCGGCGCACCAAGGCUACGAUGGGUAGCGGGUUUGAGAGGACGAUCCGCCACACUGGAACUGAGACACGGUCCAGACUCCUACGGGAGGCAGCAGUGGGGAAUAUUGCACAAUGGAGGAAACUCUGAUGCAGCAAUGCCGCGUGAGUGAAGAAGGCCCUUGGGUCGUAAAGCUCUUUUAUGGGGGAAGAUGAUGACGGUACCCCAGGAAUAAGCACCGGCUAACUACGUGCCAGCAGCCGCGGUAAUACGUAGGGUGCGAGCGUUGUUCGGAAUUACUGGGCGUAAAGGGCGCGCAGGCGGAGGUGCAAGUCGGAGGUGAAAGCCCGGGGCUCAACCCCGGAGGGUCUUUCGAAACUGCAUCUCUAGAGAGGGUCAGGGGCCGGCAGAAUUCCUGGUGUAGAGGUGAAAUUCGUAGAUAUCAGGAGGAAUACCGGUGGCGAAAGCGGCCGGCUGGGGCCACUCUGACGCUGAGGCGCGAAAGCGUGGGGAGCAAACAGGAUUAGAUACCCUGGUAGUCCACGCCGUAAACGAUGAGCACUGAACGUUCGGAGGGUUCGACCCUUCUGGGUGUUUCAGCUAACGCAUUAAGUGCUCCG